UAGGGAAUCUUCCGCAAUGGACGAAAGUCUGACGGAGCAACGCCGCGUGAGUGAUGAAGGUUUUCGGAUCGUAAAACUCUGUUGUUAGGGAAGAACAAGUUGGGUAGUAACUGACCCAACCUUGACGGUACCUAACCAGAAAGCCACGGCUAACUACGUGCCAGCAGCCGCGAUAAUACGUAGGAGGCAAGCGUUGUCCGGAAUUAUUGGGCGUAAAGCGCUCGCAGGCGGUCUUUUAAGUCUGAUGUGAAAGCCCACGGCUUAACCGUGGAGGGUCAUUGGAAACUGGAGGACUUGAGUACAGAAGAGGAGAGUGGAAUUCCACGUGUAGCGGUGAAAUGCGUAGAGAUGUGGAGGAACACCAGUGGCGAAGGCGACUCUCUGGUCUGUAACUGACGCUGAGGAGCGAAAGCGUGGGUAGCGAACAGG
rnacentral:rRNA from 1 species